AUGCACAACCCUUUGGCCACGCACAACCUUGUGUGUCCCCUUUGGGCACGUACCACCACGCACAACCCUCAGGCACGUACGGCUGUGCUCAUCCCCUUUGGCCACGCACAACCGUGCACAACCGUUCGGCCAUGUGCAACCAUGUGUGUCCCCUUUGGGCACGUACAACCAUGCACAACCCUUCGGGCACAUACGGCCUUGCUCAUCCCCUUUGGCCACGCACAACCUUGUGUGUCCCCUUUGGGCACGUACCACCACGCACAACCCUCGGGCACGUACAGCCGUGCUCAUCCCCUUCGGCCACGCACAACCCUUUGGCCACGCACAACCUUGUGUGUCCCCUUUGGGCACGUACCACCACGCACAACCCUCGGGCACGUACAGCCAUGCUCAUCCCCUUCGGCCAUGCACAACCGUGCACAACCCUUCGGCCAUGUGCAACCAUGUGUGUCCCCUUUGGGCACGUACAACCAUGUGUGUCCCCUUUGGGCACGUACAACCAUGCUCAUCCCCUUUGGCCAUGUACAACCAUGUGUGUCCCCUUCGGCCAUGUGCAACCAUGCAGAACCCUUCGGGCACAUGCAGCCAUGCUCAUCGCCUUUGGCCACGUACAACCAUGUGUCCCCCCUUUGGGCACAUAUAACCAUGCACAUCUCCUUCAGCCAUGUACAACCGUGCACAACCCUUCGGCUACAUACAACCACGCUCAUCCCCUUUGGGGACAUACAACCACGCACCACUCUUUGGACAUGUGCAUCUGUGCAUAUACCCUUUGGCCAUAUACAACCAUGUAUGUCCCCUUCAGCCACCUACAACCAUGCACAACCCUCUGGGCACAUACAACCACGCACAUCCCCUUCGGCCACCUGCAGCCAUGCACAACCCUUCGGGCGCACAAAACCAGCUGCUGGCUCCGUGACGCUGGCCCAGCACGGAGCCGUGCGCGGUGCAGCUCUGCCCGCGGGGUGCCGGCAGCGGCGAGUGCCACCUGGCCCUGUACGCGCUGAUCUGCCGUUGCCCAGAGCGUGCCUGUUCCGCGAAAACAUUUAA
rnacentral:lncRNA from 1 species